rnacentral:rRNA from 1 species
AUUGAACGCUGGCGGCAUGCCUUACACAUGCAAGUCGAACGGUAACGCGGGGCAACCUGGCGACGAGUGGCGAACGGGUGAGUAAUGCAUCGGAACGUGCCCAGUAGUGGGGGAUAGCCCGGCGAAAGCCGGAUUAAUACCGCAUACGACCUAUGGGUGAAAGCGGGGGACCGUAAGGCCUCGCGCUAUUGGAGCGGCCGAUGUCAGAUUAGGUUGUUGGUGGGGUAAAGGCCUACCAAGCCGAUGAUCUGUAGCUGGUCUGAGAGGACGACCAGCCACACUGGGACUGAGACACGGCCCAGACUCCUACGGGAGGCAGCAGUGGGGAAUUUUGGACAAUGGGGGCAACCCUGAUCCAGCCAUGCCGCGUGCGGGAAGAAGGCCUUCGGGUUGUAAACCGCUUUUGUCAGGGAAGAAACGCUCUGGGUUAAUACCUCGGGGUAAUGACGGUACCUGAAGAAUAAGCACCGGCUAACUACGUGCCAGCAGCCGCGGUAAUAC